rnacentral:rRNA from 1 species
GACUCUUGAAACACGGACCAAGGAGUUCAGCAUKCAGGCGAGUCUGAGGGUUGAGCAAAACCCGAAGGCGAAGUGAAAGCAAAGGGGCUCCUCGUGGGCCUUCUAGAUGUGAUCCCGGGCAGGUGAGAGCCUCCUGGGCGCAACAUCGUCUCGUCGUGAUUCUGUGCGAAUACGGCGACGAUUGAGCCUGCACGCUGAGACCCGAAAGAUGGUGAACUAUGCCAGAGGAGGGCGAAGCCAGAGGAAACUCUGGUGGAGGCCCGAAGCGAUUCUAACGUGCAAAUUGAUCGUCAGACUUUGGUAUAGGGGCGAAAGACUAAUCGAACCAUCUAGUAGCUGGUUCCCUCCGAAGUUUCCCKCWGGAUAGCUGGCGCUCGUUCGGAGGCAGUAGUACCCGGUAAAGCGAAUGAUUAGAGUGUUCUGGAUCGAAACGAUCUAAACCUAUUCUCAAACUCUAAAUGGGUACGAAGGUUGGCUCGCUUGUGUGGAGUCGACACCUCGAAUGCGUGUAGUGCCAAGUGGGCCACUUUUGGUAAGCAGAACUGGCGCUGUGGGAUGAACCAAACGUUCGGUUAAGGUGCCCAACAUGACGCUCAUUGGAAACCACAAAAGGUGUUGGUUGAUAAAGACAGCAGGACGGUGGUCAUGGAAGUCGAAAUCCGCUAAGGAGUGUGURACAAMUCACAUGCCGAAUCAACCAGCCCUGAAAAUGGAUAGCGCUCGAGCGUUGGACAUAUACCGGACCGUCACAGGAGUAUUARAAAGUAGCCYGUGGCGAGUAGGAGGGCGCYGUGGUGAACGUMGAAGCCCAGGCCGCAAGGCCGGGUGGAGUCGCCACGGGUACAGAUCUUGGUGGUAGUAGCU